rnacentral:tRNA from 1 species
GGCGACGUGGCCGAGUGGUUAGGCAGCGGCCUGCAAAGCCGUGUACCCCGGUUCGAUUCCGGGCGUCGCCU